CCUACGGGAGGCAGCAGUGAGGAAUAUUGGUCAAUGGACGCAAGUCUGAACCAGCCAUGCCGCGUGCAGGAUGACGGCUCUCUGAGUUGUAAACUGCUUUUGUACGAGGGUAAACCCCGACACGUGUAUCCGGUUGAGAGUAUCGUACGAAUAAGGAUCGGCUAACUCCGUGCCAGCAGCCGCGGUAAUACGGAGGAUUCGAGCGUUAUCCGGAUUUAUUGGGGUUAAAGGGUGCGUAGGCGGUUUGAUAAGGUAGCAGUGAAAUGGCGGGGCUCAACCCCGAGACUGCCUCUGAUACUGUUGGACUAGAGUAGAGUAGCGGUAGGCGGAAUGUAUGGUGUAGCGGUGAAAUGCUUAGAUAUCAGGCAGAACACCGAUUGCGAAGGCAGCUUACCGGACUAUAACUGACGUUGAGGCACGAAAGCGUGGGUAGCAAACAGGAUUAGAUACCCUGGUAGUC
rnacentral:rRNA from 1 species